CUUGAAUCCUGGUGGUGCCUGAGCUCUGCCGCCGGCAGCCCCUCUGCCCGGAGAGCCCAAGACACUCAAGCAUCCCCCAGCAGGAGCGGUGAUCCUAAUCCUGACACCAUCUCUCGCAUGGAAUGCAGGGAAGAACCCCGUGUCUCAAUUCUCCCGGACCCCAGCGAAUGGCUGAAUCAAAGAGGUGCCUGCAAAGGGCUACUCCGGCCUGUGACAUACCUUGGACUGCGGAAACCGCGUCACAGAUGUAAAGACCGUGCGCUAGCCCAAACCUCCAGGGAACAUAUCUCCAACUGGUGGUGGUAUUUAUAUCACAGUAGGCUCCAGAAAAUGCUGGGCAUUGUACAGAUGUUUUCCCCCCUUCUCUUGUAUUAUUUCUUGACUUACUUCCUAUCCUCAGGGAUUGUUGUCUUCUUUGGGAGAGAAGCGAGAGUGGCGGAGCUAAAGACCGUCUCGUGCUAGUGGAUGGCGGGGGAAUUGAACCUGGGACUUCUGGAGGUUGACGCGUGGGCCUGAACUAAAAGAGCCCACUGCGGUGUGGCAGUAACGAAGGAGGGUUAUGGGGCAGCACCACGACACCCCCUAGUGGGGUCAUCAUCGGGGCUGGGAUCCAGUAUCCUGAUGCUAAAUGGGCCGGCAUCUGCCGCAGAGCUUUGGAGCAGAGCCCGGAGCUGAAGCACGGACCAGUAGGUUUUUGCCCGGAGCUGGAGCGGAGCCGGAGUGGAGCAAGUCAAAAAUUUGAUUGCUCCAAAUCCCUGGUCUGCUGCCUGAGUGAAGAUGGCCCAGCAGGGUUGUGUAUGUGGCCCUGCCGCUAGCCGGGGACGUAGCUGCCCUGUCUGCCAGGGUGGGAUGCGACAUUUUACUGACCAAAUGAGCUGCGGUUUUGGCCUCCCAAUCAGCUGUGACCCGGAAAGCCAUCGGCCAACCCAGCUUUUAAGCUAAUAAAAC
ensembl:lncRNA